UACGGAGGGGGCGAGCGUUAUUCGGAAUUAUUGGGCGUAAAGGGCGCGUAGGCGGCUGUACAAGUCAAAGGUGAAAUCCCUCGGCUCAACUGAGGAACUGCCUUUGAAACUGUACGGCUUGAGGCCGGGAGGGGUAGCGGAAUUCCCAGUGUAGCGGUGAAAUGCGUAGAUACUGGGAGGAACACCAGUGGCGAAGGCGGCUACCUGGACCGGUUCUGACGCUGAGGCGCGAAAGCGUGGGUAGCAAACGAGG
rnacentral:rRNA from 1 species